rnacentral:tRNA from 1 species
GGGGAUACCUCAGUGGGUAGAGCGCGUGCUUAGCAUGCACGAGGUCCUGGGUUCAAUCCCCAGGACCUCCA